rnacentral:rRNA from 1 species
AACGAACGCUGGCGGCAGGCCUAACACAUGCAAGUCGAACGCUCGUAGCAAUACGGGAGUGGCAGACGGGUGAGUAACACGUGGGAACCUUCCCUAUGGUUCGGAAUAGCUCAGGGAAACUUGGGGUAAUACCGGAUAAGCCCUUCGGGGGAAAGGAUUUAUCGCCAUUGGAUGGGCCCGCGUCGGAUUAGCUAGUUGGUGAGGUAACGGCUCACCAAGGCAACGAUCCGUAGCUGGUCUGAGAGGAUGAUCAGCCACACUGGGACUGAGACACGGCCCAGACUCCUACGGGAGGGCAGCAGUGGGGGAAUAUUGGACAAUGGGCGGCAAGCCUGAUCCAGCCAUGCCGCGUGAGUGACGAAGGUCUUCGGAUUGUAAAACUCUUUUGGCGGGGACGAUAAUGACGGUACCCGCAGAAUAAGCCCCGGCUAACUUCGUGCCAGCAGCCGCCGUAAG